CAGCCGCCGCGGGAAUACGGAGGGGGCUAGCGUUGUUCGGAAUUACUGGGCGUAAAGCGUGCGUAGGCGGUGAGUUAAGUCUGCUGUGAAAUCCCCGGGCUCAACCUGGGAAUGGCAGUGGAUACUGGCUCGCUAGAGUGUGUCAGAGGAUGGUGGAAUUCCCGGUGUAGCGGUGAAAUGCGUAGAGAUCGGGAGGAACAUCAGUGGCGAAGGCGGCCAUCUGGGACAACACUGACGCUGAGGCACGAAAGCGUGGGGAGCAAACAGGAUUAGAUACCCGAGUAGUCCCUGUCUCUUAUAU
rnacentral:rRNA from 1 species